ensembl:lncRNA
CUGGGGUCUAAACAGAUCAGUUCUCACUCACUUUAAAUGGACAGAAUAUUCACCCAACUAUAACCUUGUAUAUUUGUAUAUCAUUUCACUGUUAUGCAUUACCCUCACCUUGUACCCUAAACCUGAACACAGCGUUGUAAUAUUGUAUACCUUACCCUGACGUUGUAUGUGUUACCCUAACCUAUAUACCCUCAACCUGUAGACAUCAUUCAGAAUGAAGAAAGGGCAUGAGGUCUGUCUGUUGCGUAGACUGCAGAGUAAGGCCUACCCCUUCUAUGUGGACUGGAGAGGUGAAGCUGGGUGUGUGUGGGUCCCUCUGAGAGGUGAAGCUGUGUGUGUGUGGGCCUCUCUGAGAGGUGAAGGUGAGUGUGUGUGGGUCUCUCUGAGAGGUGAAGGUGGGUGUGUGUGGGCCUCUCUGAGAGGUGAAGCUGGGUGUGUGUGUGUCUCUCUGAGAGGUGAAGCUGGGUGUGUGUGGGCCUCUCUGAGAGGUGAAGCUGGGUGUGUGUGGGUCUCUCUGAAAGGUGAAGCUGGGUGUGUGUGCGUCUCUCUGAGAGGUGAAUCUGGGUGUGUGUGCGUCUCUCUGAGAGGUGAAUCUGGGUGUGUGUGCGUCUCUCUGAGAGGUGAAGCUGGGUGUGUGUGCGUCUCUCUGAUCAUCUGCUCAGUCAGUGUUCCCUCAAAAAGCCUUUUUACAAUCCGUAUCGAUCCACCCCAUUUUACCAUUCAUACCAGCAACCUCCAGGGUCAUUAGGAAAGGCUUGAAAGCAAACAUCAUCAUUCCUAAGGGUGCUGCUUUGUGUGUGUGUGUGUGUGUGUGUGUGUGUGUGUGUGUGUGUGUGUGUGUGUGUGUGUGUGUGUGUGUGUGUGCGUGCGUGCGUGCGUGCGUGUGUGUGUGUGUGUGUGCGUGCGUGCGUGCGUGUGUGUGUGUGUGUGCGUGUGUGCGUGUGUGUGUGAAUGGUUAUGGUUAUGAAGCCCUGAAAUCAUGCCAAACACAGUAGAAGGUUAGUGGGGAGUCCAGUGUGUGUGUCGACUGCCAAUACAGCUAAUCAAGAGAUUGGGCCUAGCAGGGGAGAGACAGCAUAAGCAGGUGUCAUACAAACAGCACACAGACACACAGCAUGGGCUGGUACACAACACACUCCUGUCGUAUCUCACUGGGCACCAUGUGGACCUGUAUCGUUCAAAGCCUUUGGAUGGAAGGGAGAUGCACACAAACGCAAAAAUGAACAACCAAACUGACGUCCCUGCAGAUGAGCAUGUCGAUGGGGAAACGAUCUAUAUGGCUGUAUGGAUCACUGCCAUUUGUCUUAAGGGGACUGGGGAACACACAGGGCAUGUACAGUACCAGUCAAACGUUUGGACACACCGACUCAUUACAGGGCUUUUCUUUAUUUGACUCUUUUCUACAUUGUAGAAUAACAGUGACGACUUCAGAACUAUGAAACAACACAUAUGGAAUCAUGUAGUAACCAAAAAAGUGAUAAACAAAUCAAAAUGGAAAGAACAGCUCAAAUAAGCAAAGAGAAACGACAGUCCAUCAUUACCUUAAG